rnacentral:pre_miRNA from 1 species
AUCUACAUCUUCAUUGAGUGUCUAUAGUUGUAGGCUACAUGUUUAUGACUAGUCUAUACCAUGUAGCCUACAACUAUAGACACUCAAUGAAGAUGUAG